GUCCACGUUACCAUGGGAGCUGUGGUUCUGAAUGACAGUCUCCCUUCCUAGGCGUGGUACAGCAUGUUCUUGCUCCUAUUCAGACAGUC
ensembl:snoRNA